GCCUUCGUUGUGUAAUGGUUAGCACACUGAGCCGGUAUUUCAGAGGUCCGUGGUUCGAUCCCCGGCGAAGGCA
rnacentral:tRNA from 1 species